rnacentral:rRNA from 1 species
AUUGAACGCUGGCGGCAGGCCUAACACAUGCAAGUCGAACGAGUGGCGGACGGGUGAGUAAUGUCUGGGAAACUGCCUGAUGGAGGGGGAUAACUACUGGAAACGGUAGCUAAUACCGCAUACCAUCGGAUGUGCCCAGGUGGGAUGAGCUAGUAGGUGGGGUAAAGGCUCACCUAGGCGACGAUCCCUAGCUGGUCUGAGAGGAUGACCAGCAACAUGGGAACUAGGACACGGUCCGGCUUCUUACGGGAGGCGGCAUGGGGGAAUAUUGCACAAGGGGGGAAAGCUGGAUGCAGCAAGGCGGGGGGUAUGAGGAGGGCCUUCGGUUUUAAAAGUACUUUCAGCGGGAAGGCGUUACCCGCAGAAGAAGCCCCGGCUAACUCCGUGCCAGCCGCCGCGGUAAUAC